rfam:Equus caballus chromosome 24, whole genome shotgun sequence.
GGAUGUGAGUGCCAUCUGGCUGUGACAUCAGUCACCUCAUUGAUUGCCAGGUUUGAUUGAGCUGACCUGGUUGGCUAGAUGGUGUCCUCUUCCUUCCUCCCUCCACAUUCAUGUGCAUCCCCUCCCCCUGAAGCUGUGAGAUCAGAGAAGAAAACAUUCCGCAAUAGCGGAGGUCCGUUCUUUGGUCAAGGGCAUGUAAUUGCGUGUGUCCUCUCCCACAGCAUGAGGAGAAUCCCUCUACUAGAAUCAAGCACGCUCUCAAGAAGUAGUGUGACCCAGUAAGAGGCUGUCCUCUCCU